GGGUGUAUCGCUCAGUUGGUAGAACAUUGGGAUUUUAACCUAAUGGUCAUAGGUUUAAGUCCUACUAUACCCA
rfam:Hordeum vulgare subsp. vulgare, WGS project CAJW01000000 data, contig: morex_contig_52488